GGCUCAGAUUGAACGCUGGCGGCAGGCCUAACACAUGCAAGUCGAGCGGAAACGAGUUAUCUGAACCUUCGGGGGACGAUAACGGCGUCGAGCGGCGGACGGGUGAGUAAUGCCUAGGAAAUUGCCCUGAUGUGGGGGAUAACCAUUGGAAACGAUGGCUAAUACCGCAUGAUGCCUACGGGCCAAAGAGGGGGACCUUCGGGCCUCUCGCGUCAGGAUAUGCCUAGGUGGGAUUAGCUAGUUGGUGAGGUAAGGGCUCACCAAGGCGACGAUCCCUAGCUGGUCUGAGAGGAUGAUCAGCCACACUGGAACUGAGACACGGUCCAGACUCCUACGGGAGGCAGCAGUGGGGAAUAUUGCACAAUGGGCGCAAGCCUGAUGCAGCCAUGCCGCGUGUGUGAAGAAGGCCUUCGGGUUGUAAAGCACUUUCAGUCGUGAGGAAGGUGGUGUAGUUAAUAGCUGCAUUAUUUGACGUUAGCGACAGAAGAAGCACCGGCUAACUCCGUGCCAGCAGCCGCGGUAAUACGGAGGGUGCGAGCGUUAAUCGGAAUUACUGGGCGUAAAGCGCAUGCAGGUGGUUUGUUAAGUCAGAUGUGAAAGCCCGGGGCUCAACCUCGGAAUAGCAUUUGAAACUGGCAGACUAGAGUACUGUAGAGGGGGGUAGAAUUUUCAGGUGUAGCGGUGAAAUGCGUAGAGAUCUGAAGGAAUACCGGUGGCGAAGGCGGCCCCCUGGACAGAUACUGACACUCAGAUGCGAAAGCGUGGGGAGCAAACAGGAUUAGAUACCCUGGUAGUCCACGCCGUAAACGAUGUCUACUUGGAGGUUGUGGCUUGAGCCGUGGCUUUCGGAGCUAACGCGUUAAGUAGACCGCCUGGGGAGUACGGUCGCAAGAUUAAAACUCAAAUGAAUUGACGGGGGCCCGCACAAGCGGUGGAGCAUGUGGUNUAAUUCGAUGCAACGCGAAGAACCUUACCUACUCUUGACAUCCAGAGAACUUUCCAGAGAUGGAUUGGUGCCUUCGGGAACUCUGAGACAGGUGCUGCAUGGCUGUCGUCAGCUCGUGUUGUGAAAUGUUGGGUUAAGUCCCGCAACGAGCGCAACCCUUAUCCUUGUUUGCCAGCGAGUAAUGUCGGGAACUCCAGGGAGACUGCCGGUGAUAAACCGGAGGAAGGUGGGGACGACGUCAAGUCAUCAUGGCCCUUACGAGUAGGGCUACACACGUGCUACAAUGGCGCAUACAGAGGGCGGCCAACUUGCGAAAGUGAGCGAAUCCCAAAAAGUGCGUCGUAG
rnacentral:rRNA from 1 species